rnacentral:misc_RNA from 1 species
AUGUCUUCUGGCGGUAACAGUUCAAAUGUGAAUAGAAAUUCUGGGAGUAGCAAUGUGAUUACUUUGAAUGAUUCUGACGAAGAAACCGAGGACAGCAAUUUGGGCAGCAGCUCGUCCACAAAUCUUUGCAAAGUAUGCGGAGCCGAAAAAGCUGCUCUUCACUACGGAGCACUGAGCUGUGUCGGAUGUAAAGGCUUCUUCCGUCGGGCUCUUCUGAAGGCUGAUCAACUGGAAUGUGCUGCAAAUGGAGAGUGUACAAGAAAACCCAAUGCAGAAGCUGUAGAUUCAAUAAGUGCCUACGCGAAGGAAUGAAUCCUGCUUAUGUCCGCCCAAACCGAGACGCACCUCCAAAGCCACGUAAGCCGACAACUACAGUAGCCACGUGCGAUCAAACUGAUCGUGGUAGGACCACAAAAAGCCGCGAGGAGUGGAUGAAAAAGAUGACGGUUGAGAUGAGAACAAUAUUAAUGACACUGUUGAAUAUUGAGACAAAAGUAAUGAAAGGAGAUACACAACAAGAAGCAUCAAAACUGUACCCGCUGAAAGGAAUUGAUAAGCUCAGUGAUAUCAUUGAAACACCGAUUCAAUUAAAAGGAAAACGAACAGAAAUGAGAUAUGAAGCAUACAGAAUGGCUGGAAAUGAUGAGUUAUGUGCAAUUGCCUAUCGGAGGUUGAUUGCUGCAAUUGAUUGGGUUGAAUCGCUGUCACCACUGUUGGGACACCUAACGCCUCAGGAUAAGAUAGCACUGGUCAAAUCUUCAUUCGCCCCACUUAUGGUCUUCAAUUUUUGUGCGAGAACAGCAGAAGCUUGUCAGGAUGAGAAUGUUCUAUGCCUUUGUAAUUUUGCAUAUGUUCCACGGAAUAUAUCAAAAAUGUAUGAGGACACAUAUCACCUCGGCAACGGACUCGUGGAACGUGCUCUAAAUGAGCUUGUAGCAGUAUAUCGGGAAUAUGGUAUGAGAGAAGAGGAAAUUGUUUGCGUGAAUGCAAUGAUUUGUCUGAAUCCUCUGGCAAAAGAUGUAUCGGAUUCUUUGUUUGAAAAGAUUGUUGAGCUGAGAAAUCGAAUUGCUGAUUGUCUUUUUUCAAUUGUUAAGGAGGUUCGAUUAAGUCCGACACCGAAUGUAUGUUACGGACAUAUACUUCUUUCAUUGGCUACUGUUACAGAACUAGCAAAUGCGAUGAGUGAAAAUCUCCAAUUUGCUCAAACAUUUUCAAAUCAAGGAGAAAUUCCACUUCUCACUGACUUAUUCGGCUGUUUCACAGUUGAACCAUUUUUCAAAGAAGUCGACGAGCUGGCGGCAAUGAGUUUGGAAAAGGCGAAAGCUGAAAAGAAGAAGGAAAUGAGUACACAAACUGAUAGGUUGCCUCCUCCAAGAGCAUUAUUGAAACGACAAGCAACUAUCGAUGAGGACAGCGAAGAACCUGCUCGACAGAAUUUUCGACUUUUGCAGCCUCCAAACAAUUUCUACAUUACUGAAAUGUUGGAUGAUUUGAGGAACAAUCACGCCGAGAAUCAUUUGAUAAGUCUCAACUUUGACGCUUCAAACGUUUCGAAUGCAAUCGCUUCGAGACCCAGUUUUGAGGAUUUGGGUACUGUACCAAGUGGUUCAACAGUAACACGACGAAUUGGGAGUAAUAUUCAAGGACCAUCCCACCUCCCUCAAUGUGGUUCUACAGUAACCCAAAGACCUACAGUACCCUCCUCCACAACAUCCUCCACAUUCUACAAUUUCCCUCCACCACCUGGUUAUCCACCAUUAAAUGCUGGAUACACACCGAAUGUCAACUAUCCGAAUUUGUAUCAACAACCACAGUAUUUCCAGAAUUUUCAGCAAAAUAAUUACCCAUCUCAAGUCAUGGAACAGCAAAAUUAUGGAAAUGUUGAAAGUACCAGUUACCCAUUUCCACGAAAUGAUGGUUUUGUGUAUAAUCAUCCGAAUAUUCCAUACUCACAUCAUAAUAAUAGUCUACAACAAAAUAAUUUUCAUAAUCAAUAUGCAAAUUAG